rnacentral:rRNA from 1 species
GAUGAACGCUGGCGGCGUGCCUAAUACAUGCAAGUCGAGCGAACAGACGAGGAGCUUGCUCCUCUGACGUUAGCGGCGGACGGGUGAGUAACACGUGGAUAACCUACCUAUAAGACUGGGAUAACUUCGGGACACCGGAGCUAAUACCGGAUAAUAUAUUGAACCGCAUGGUUCAAUAGUGAAAGACGGUUUUGCUGUCACUUAUAGAUGGAUCCGCGCCGCAUUAGCUAGUUGGUAAGGUACCGGCUUACCAAGGCAACGAUGCGUAGGCGACCUGAGAGGGUGGUCGGCCACCUGGGAACUGAGACACGGUCCAGGCGCCUGCGGGAGGGAGCAGUAGGGAAUCUUCCGCAAUGGGCGAAAGCCUGACGGAGCAACGCCGCGUGAGUGAUGGAGGUCUUCGGAUCGUAAAACUCUGUUAUUAGGGAAGAACAAAUGUGUAAGUAACUAUGCACGUCUUGACGGUACCUAAUCAGAAAGCCACGGCUAACUACGUG